GUCCAGACUCCUACGGGAGGCAGCAGUAGGGAAUUUUGCGCAAUGGGGGAAACCCUGACGCAGCAACGCCGCGUGAUUGAUGAAGCCCUUCGGGGUGUAAAGCUCUGUCAGUGGGGACGAAACUUGACGGUACCCACAGAGGAAGCAUCGGCUAACUCCGUGCCAGCAGCCGCGGUAAUACGGAGGAUGCGAGCGUUAUCCGGAUUUAUUGGGUUUAAAGGGUGCGUAGGCGGGACGGUAAGUCAGCGGUAAAAUUGCGGGGCUCAACCCCGUCGUGCCGUUGAAACUGGCGUUCUUGAGUGAGCGAGAAGUAUGCGGAAUGCGUGGUGUAGCGGUGAAAUGCAUAGAUAUCACGCAGAACUCCGAUUGCGAAGGCAGCAUACCGGCGCUCAACUGACGCUCAUGCACGAAAGCGUGGGUAUCGAACAGGAUUAGAUACCCGUGUAC
rnacentral:rRNA from 1 species